rnacentral:lncRNA from 10 species
AAGAGGCAGCCAAGCGGCAAUGUAUUUCUGGAUUGCAAUUACUUGCCUCCGCUCUGAGAGAAACCCCAGCCACAUCUCCAGCACACAAGAACUUCAAAACGCCUAAACCACAGUGGCCAGGCAUUCCUCCAGGACCUCCUCCCCCAGGAUCUUGCUUCAAGUGCCGGAAAUCUGGCCACUGGGCCAAGGAAUGCCCGCAGCCCAGGAUUCCUCCUAAGCCGUGUCCUAUCUGUGCAGGUCCCCACUCGAAAUCGGACUGUCCAGCUUGCCCAAAAGCCACUCCCAGAGCCCCUGGAACUCUGCCCCAAGGCUCUCUGACUGACUCCUUCCCAGAUCUUCUUGGCUUAGUGGCUGAAGACUGAUGCUGCCUGAUUGCCUCAGAAGCCUCCUGGACCAUCACAGACACUUCAGGUAACUUACAGUGGAGAAUAAACUCCUGGGACAUUUCAUCUUUGGAUACUACAGAGCCUGAUAUUAAUUGCAUGUUGGGAGAACUGUGUCCCUGGGAUCUUUUUGGAUUCAGUGUCCUGCGUCCUUGCCAGUGUCUCCUGAUUUGCUGAUCUUCAGUGAUCUCCAAUCUCAAAUAACAGCCCCGACAACCAAUACAUGAGCCUUAGACACUGAGUUGUCACUUGAAGAUUCAACUACCUCUUCAUUCAACACACAAGACCAGAGAGCUAACUCCCUUCCCUAACACCACACACCAAAGAAGAGAAGGAGAACUUUGCAAAUCAGGACUAUCAUAGAUGAAUCCAGCUUAUAGGCCAGAAGGUAAACUAGAUGACUAAACAUGAGGUGUGCUGCAUAAUGCUUGCAUAAGAAUAUCUUUGCUGAAUAAACUGCAUGAGUUUACGUCAUCAGUAUGCUGGUGGACUAAAUGAGUUAACGAAUCCCUAAAGAAAAUAAGUCAUUGAAAGUAUGUGUCCAUAUAAUUAAACAUUAAGUUAUAAAUGUUAAUAUUAUUACUUUCAAUAGCCAAAUGUUUGCCAUUUUAUAGGAAAAAUAACCUCUAUAAUCUCCAGAAGCGAGCUACCAUUCAUAUAAAGAAAAACCUUAAAAAAU